rnacentral:lncRNA from 1 species
CGUGGUACCACAAAAGAAUAUCUAAAAUAACUUUGAUUCGUUUAACUUAAAAUAUAUUCAACAUGUUUUUUGUUAUUUUUAUAGCAAACGGUGAUUUUUAUAGUUGAAGCUAUGGAAUACGCAGUAAAGUAAAAUAAAAAUAUUGAUAACAGUAAAGUGCCUGCCGUGUGGAAUGUUCAAAGGGCACAGAAAAGAAGACCAUUCCGUUUGUUUUCAGCAAUGUUGUGAACGUAUGUGGUAAAGUAGAAAUAUCGGUUGUAGAGUUACUGAGCUACAUAUGUCAGACGUUACAAUCAAACUACUAGCUUUACGAUUUAGUAUGUCACAGUUUGAUCAAGAAACAUCGUUUGCGCGUGAAUAUGCUCUUAACCUAUGUUGAUAAGCAUG